AUGCAUAUUACAGGGGAUGAGUUAAUGUGCCUUCUUUCCAGUUCAGUUGCUUUCGAGAAAUUGACACUAGUGUAUUGCCAUGAGUUGAUUUUCCUGGAGAUACCUAGCCUGCUGCAGCGGCUUAGCCACCUGGUUGUCCACGACUGCUUAAAUCUGGAAGUGAUAAAGAAUAAGGCCCCUUAUCUCUACAGUUUUGAAUAUAGUGGUGCCCUGGUACGACUAUCACUUGGUGUUUCAUUGCAAAACCUUGACAUUGAUGCUUCAGGGUGGGACGUUAUUCAUUAUGCUGGUGCCAAACUUCCAUGCAUGGUGCCAAAUCUUGAAGCUCUUAACAUACAUUCGUCUUAUGUGAGGGAUAUACUGGUGGUACCUGGCAAAUUCCUCCACCUCCAGCAUCUGUGUAUUGGGGCAUUUACCCCAGACUAUGAUUAUCUCUCUCUGGUUUCUUUUCUUGAUGCUUGUCCUUCCUUGGAGACUUUCAUAUUGUCUGCAGAGCCGGAUUGCAUGGAGCAAGAAUCAGGUUUAGGAUAUUCUUUUCAUGAUCUAAGGAAGAUGCCAGGACACAUGCAUAGGAACAUCAAGGAUGUGCAGAUCAUUGGUUUUUGUUCUGCGAAGAGCAUGGUUGAGCUGACAUGCCAUAUUCUUGAGAAUUCAAAGCUGCUUAAGUGCCUUAAACUGAGCACCUGUUACAAUGGUGAGAUUUUGUGUUCCUACAACAAUAAUGGUAAAUGUCUCCCGAUGAGUAGGGGUAUGAUGAUGGAAGCCCAUAAAGCUCUCUUGGCGGUGGAAAGAUAUAUUUUGGGGAAAGUUCCCUCAACCGUCGAGUUAAAAGUUGAGGAGCCUUGUGGCCGUUGCAAUGCUCUUGUCUCUUGA
rnacentral:rRNA from 1 species